rnacentral:misc_RNA from 1 species
AAGUCGUAACAAGGUAACCGUAGGUGAACCUGCGGUUGGAUCAUUACUAAAUUACUUUGACCUGAGGUUGAGUUCAAAAUUCUUUUGAAAUCCCUCAGUGUCAUAAACAUUUUGUGCAUCUAUUGUGUAUUUGGGUUAUUUCUUUUUUGAAAGGAUUAACCCAACAAUGAAUAUAAACCAUUAUUCUUUUUUUUUGACUGAAAUAAAUUGAAAAAUUUAUAAACAACUUUUGACAACGGAUCUCUUGGCUCUC